AGCAGCCGCGGUAAUUCCAGCUCCAAUAGCGUAUAUUAAAGUUGUUGCAGUUAAAAAGCUCGUAGUUGAACUUCGGGAUCAAUGGAUUGGUCAUGCCGAUGGUAUGAACUGGUCAUAUUGGUUCUCACCUUCUAAGGAACCAUGAUGUCAUUUAUUUGAUGUUGUGGGGAAUUAGGACUGUUACCUUGAAAAAAUUAGAGUGUUUAAAGCAGGCUAACGCUUGAAUACAUUAGCAUGGAAUAAUGAAAUAGGACAUCGCAUUCUAUUUUGUUGGUUUCUAGGAUCGAUGUAAUGAUUAAUAGGGAUAGUUGGGGGCAUUAGUAUUCAAUUGUCAGAGGUGAAAUUCUUGGAUUUAUUGAAGACUAACUACUGCGAAAGCAUUUGCCAAGGAUGUUUUCAUUAAUCAAGAACGAAAGUUAGGGGAUCGAAGACGAUCAGAUACCGUCGUAGUCUUAACCAUAAACUAUGCCGACUAGGGAUCGGAUGAUGUUGAUUUUUUAAUGACUCA
rnacentral:rRNA from 2 species